AUGCACUACUCUGGCCAGGCAGUCCGCGGGCAGCUGUAUGAAGUGGGAAUUCAAAUUGACAGGAAAUGCUUGGCGCUCAAGUCUGGCGGGAUCGCUGCUUUGUUCUCCGGGGGCAGUCGUCUCUUCAGUCCCGUGUCGGAGCCUCACUCACCCGAUUUUCCUCCUUACGAGGGUCAAUCGGGAGCAGGGACGACACAACGGGGACCCACGAGACCGCGGUCCACGGGACGCUCUUCCCGUGGCUUUAAGGGGCCCGAGGCGCAGGCUCGAGGUCUGGUUGCUUCAAUCAACUCCAGCCUUGGGAUCGCAAGUGCCACAGCCCCAACGGUUUUCCCAUUGCCUCCCUGUAGGCAAGACGACACCACCGCCUCCCAGGUCACUGUGGGUUGUCUGGUCUCUGGUUACUAUCCUGAACCAGUCACAGUGCAAUGGAAUUCGGGAGCCAUCUCUAGCGGCAUCCGGACCUUCCCUGCACUGUUGGAUUCAUCCAGUGGCCGCUACACCCUCACCAGCCAGCUCACCAUCCCAACCAGCACCUGGGAAUCUGAGAAGCUCCAAUGCAAUGUCGCCCAUGCAGCUACCAGCUCUGAAAUCACCAAGGAGAUUGACCGCUCUAUUGCACUACCUCCAGUGGCCCCAGAAGUCCGCCUUCUCCAUUCCUCCUGCAAACCCAGAUCCAGAGAUGCCACCAUUGAGCUGCUGUGCAUGAUCUCCGGCUUUUACCCCAAAAUGGUGACGGUGGAAUGGCUGGUAGGUGGGCAAGCCGGUCUGCUGGCUUCAUUCACUGAGGAGCCCAGGAAAGAUGCUCACGGAUACACCUUCAGUACUACAAGCACAGUCAACAUCAGCCAAGAAGACUGGCAGGCUGGGAAUACCUACUACUGCCAGGUGUUCCACGAAGCAACCCAAACCAAAGUGAAAAGCAAAGCCAAGAUAUGUGAAGACAAUGCUGACUGCCCCUCCAGCGGCAUUAAUGUGCACAUCAUACCACCAACGCCACAAGACCUGUACGUAAACUACGACCCCAAGCUCACCUGUGUGGUAGAGAAUCUGGAAAACGCAGAUGGGCUGGAAGUCACCUGGUCACGAGCGGAUUCAGGACCCGUGAGCCCAGAACUACUGGGAGUGAAAGAAGAGCUUAAUGGAAAGUUCACUGCUACCAGCUCCCUUCCCGUCACAACGUGGCUGCAGGGCGAGAAAUUCACCUGCAACGUGGAAUAUCCAGGCUUGACUGCUCCCAUCACUAAGACCAUUGCCAAGACGACAGGUAAGGGGGGAAACAAGGUUGGGCUCCCAUCCUGGGGCUGGUGGCCUUGUGUUCCAGCAGGAAAGAGAAUACUGAAACAACCAGCACCAAUUGGUUCACCUGCAAUUUACACUGCGGACACUUUCACACAGUCUGGCGCUAGCACCCCUCCUGGGGUGUUCCUCUACCCCCCUCACCACGAGGAAAUCAACGCUCGGCCAGCAAUGCUGACCCUCACCUGCCUGGUCACAGGAUUCACCCCAAAAGAGGUUUCUAUCCAGUGGCUGAAGAAUCACAAUGCCAUGCCUGAAGACCAUCACGUCAACACGCCGGUCAUGAAGGACAACAAGAACGACUCCUACUUUCUCUACAGCCACAUGAAAAUCCCAUUCUCUGACUGGAACAACGGAGUUUCACACACCUGCAUGGUUAUCCACGAAGCCCUCCCCAUGAAGUUCACCCAGAGGACCGUGGAGAAAACCCAGGAGAUUACUGUGUCAGCAGAUGUUGAUUAUAGUGAUGAGAAAAAGGAGGAAGUGGACCACUUAUGGGUGACUCUCUUUGUUUUCUUCAUUCUCUUCAUCCUCAGCGUUUGCUAUAGUGCCACCGUGACACUGUUCAAAGUAAAAUGGCUCUUCUCUACAAUGCUGCAGCUGAAGAAGCAGCCACCAGGCCCUGUCUAUAAGAAUGUGAUCCAAUGA